GCGGCAGUGGCGUAAUGGUAGCCGCGCCAGUCUUAGGAACUGGUACCGAGAGGUGUAAGGGUUCGAGUCCCUUCUGCCGCAC
rnacentral:tRNA from 1 species